UUGCUCGGUAAUUUUCUCUCGUUAGUUUUUGAUUUAGGACAUUUAUUUUUGUGUGGCGACUGGCGCAUUGCGCAUGCGCUGUAAUAAAUGAAUUGCACGUGGGUAAACGAAUUUGAAUUGACAACGUUUGAUUAGUAUGCACAGUUUUGGGAUACAGUUUUAGCAAAAAGGGAAAAAAAACCUGACAAAGACGUCUAACAACAAGAAACUCUACAAGAUUUCAUGGAUAUACACUCAAGUCAUUUCUGUCUGCCUCACAUGGAGAUUAUCAUAAACAUGACAGAAACUUGAUUCUGCUCUUCACUUAUUUCCCCGGAGAGAAAAUAAAAUCACAUUAACAUCCACAGGUAUUGAUCCAGACGUGAUAUAUAGGACAAUCCUGAAGUUUUGUCGUCAUGGCUGAGCAUUUUAAUGCUGGACCUGGAACCAAUUAUCUGGAGAUGUGUCUUGGGUCCCAAAAUAUCAUUGUCAGGCUGCCACACACCAAGAGAUAAAAGAGAAUAAAUGGAGUCAAAUCCCAAAGUGACAUGACAGACUGCCUUCUAUUCCCUAUCUCCUCCAAAAAGAAACUGAUGUAAGGCUGCUGCUAUACUGUAAAUAUCACAUAUUUCACAUUUCUCGAGAACCAUAUAAUGUCCACAGAAAAUAAAUUCAACUCAUCCCUGUUUUU